GAUCCUGGCUCAGGACGAACGCUGGCGGCGUGCCUAACACAUGCAAGUCGAGCGAGAAGCUUAAGAUUGAGACUUCGGUUGAUUGAUUAAGUGGAAAGCGGCGGACGGGUGAGUAACGCGUGAGUAACCUGCCUUAUGGAGGGGGGACAACAGUUAGAAAUGACUGCUAAUACCGCAUAACAUAUUUUUAUCGCAUGGUAGAAAUAUCAAAGAUUUAUCGCCAUAAGAUGGACUCGCGUCUGAUUAGAUAGUUGGUGAGGUAACGGCUCACCAAGUCGACGAUCAGUAGCCGAACUGAGAGGUUGAUCGGCCACAUUGGGACUGAGACACGGCCCAGACUCCUACGGGAGGCAGCAGUGGGGGAUAUUGCACAAUGGGGGAAACCCUGAUGCAGCAACGCCGCGUGAAGGAAGAAGGUCUUCGGAUUGUAAACUUUUGUCUUAUGGGAAGAAGAAAGUGACGGUAGCCAAGGAGGAAGCCACGGCUAACUACGUG
rnacentral:rRNA from 1 species